GUUUGCACAUUCUCCCUGUGUCUGCGUGGGUUUCCUCCAGCACCCUGGAACUUUGCACAAGUUUAGAACGAAGUGUGUAAUUCGUCUUUCCAAGAAUUUUCCCGGUUUGCUUUCCAUCCUGCUGGUCUUUGCCUGUGAGCAUUCCAUCCUUGGUUUUGGAUUCUGCAGAAAUCGAGGAUCUGAAUAAACAAUUUGUCUCGACAUUAUGCUGGAUCCAGCGCCUCCCACACUUUCUAGAUGAUUUCCACUGGAACCUGACCUUGCAUACAUCGAUACUGAGCCCGAGAUUUGGUUGAGGAAGACUGCACCAGCUGGGGCUCCUUUCUCUUGAAAAGGGAGGACUUUGGGGUGACCUGACAUCACUUUAAAACUCUGAAAGGGCUUGACGGAACAGAUGCGUUGUUGGGAGAUCUCAAGGAGCAAGGAAUUCGCCUCACGACAGUCCAAGGACACUGCUAGCAACAAGGCUAGGUGGUCUGAGUGCAGAGACUGUGGGGGUGCAGAUGGAUCUGCCUGGGAUUGCCUGUAUCCAUUAAACUCCACCCACAGAGUCAUCAGCACACUGCACAGACCAUUCAGCCCAUCAAAUUAAUGCUAGAAUUCUCUAGGUUCAUAAUCAUAGAGUGGCACGGAAACAGACCCUUCAGUCCAAUCAGUCCUCGCCAACCAUAGUCCCAAACUAAUCAGUUCUAUUUCCCUCAUUUUUAUUCCCCUGCUUCAAAAGGCUUACUUCUCUCAAAUGACCAUCCAACAUCCUUCCGAAAUCAGCUCUGCUUGCAUGCAAAUUACUCAAUGCAAUACCUACUUUAAUCAGAGAAUGAAAAACAUAUGAACGCAGAGGGGAUGUGGCAAAUAGCAUCGAGGCAGCUGGAUGAAGAUAAAAGGCUAAACGUUGGGAAUCUUGAAGUGAGUCACUCACCUCCUGACUCCCCAAAGCCUGUCCACCAUCUACAAGUGUGAUGGAAUACUCCCCACUUGCCUGAUG